AUUUUAUAUUUCAGAAUGAAACCUGCCAUAUUGAUUCUCUGUCUGCUGGGAGCAGCUUAUGCUAAUCCAAUCUUGCAUAAAAUGGCUAUGGAGAUGAUUCAACAUGCAUCCAACUCUUCGGAGAGCUCUUCAAUAUCUGAAUCCUCUGACCAGAGUAAUACCUCAGAACCUUCAGAUGAGAAAUCUAAGGAAACUGUCUCCGACAGCAGCAGCUCAGAAUCAACUGAAUCAGACUCUAAUGAACCGAUCUCAAGUGAAAGCCAUUCUGUGGAAAGUCUGGUAAGUUACUUUGCUUUAAUACAGCCUAAAACUCAUGCUCUAAAGCGUAUUGACUGCAGAUAAAUUGAUAACCUGUUUACUCUCCCACGUUCUGUCAUCAUCUCUGGAGCUGAAGUUUGUGUGCAGUAUUUUUUAUAUAGAAUUUGUAGUUGUUUAUUUAUACUGUUGGUAUUAACCAUUUUCAAAUAAAUAAAGUAAAGAAAAAGUCAAGCAUUGCAUGAGUCCUGUAUUUCCCAGGAAUUCUUAAUGCUAAAAGUUGCAUAUGCAAGCACCAUACGUUCCUAAAAUGAAAGGGUUGCCCUAAUGCAAUCCAAGAGUAAUUACCAACUUCAUUGCCUAUAAUUUUACAGAUUUAGUUCAUACCUUUGCACAAGCAUGCCUAAACAAUAAAAAUAGUGUUUAGAGAGCUGAAAUGGCUGUUGUGUAACAUCAAGCUAUGAAAGAGCACUUUCAGCAGUAAGGAAUAUUGCAACUAUUAGGCUGUGUGUGUGUGUGUGUGUGUGUGUGUGUUGUGUGUGUGUGUGUGUGUGUGUGUGUGUGUGUGUGUGUGUGUGUGUGUGUGAUUAACUUAUUCAUAAGUAAUAUAUCAUGUCUGUCAAACGCAUGUCAUUGCUGUUUUGAUACCACAAGAUGGUGGCAAACUUGUGGGGUUUCCCUAGGCAGAACAUCACAAACUCACACAAACAUUACAUGCUGAGCGGGACUUUCUGCCGUUUCAUGUGUGCUGCUUUUGGCAGAGGGAUAAAGAUUCCUUACGCUAAGAAUGGGGGUUUAGACAUUGUAAGUUUGUUAAUUACUGUAUAAUUAAAAUGACUGUUUUUAUGGUUCAGUCUUCAGAUAACAGACUAAGCACCAUUGGUUUUCAUUGUCUAGACAAUUGACACAAUGUGAUCCAAGAUAAUGGCAGGCAUUAUCCAUUUUGACAAGAAGGGGUAAAAACUUUAAAUAAUGGGGUUUUUAGAGACUGCAAUAAUAAUAAUAAUAAGAAUUUGCCAGAUUCCCCAGUUAAAAAAGACAAUAUAAAACUAUCAGAUACUAUUUUCCUCUGAGUUUACGGUUAGCUGCUCAGCUGCCAAUAUAUUAUAUGAUACCAUCAAAUUAAACAAUACUCAUUUUGUAUGUUCUCAAAAUGAACGCAGCACUCAUUUUGCAUCGCAUCAUUGUCAAAUUGUUUUGGGGUAAGCAAGCAACAUUUAGUCAAAAAUCUGCAGUAUAAUCUCUCUCUCUCUGAGUGUAUCUGUGUUUACAUUGUAGGCCAAAUGUUCAUAAAUUGUAGGCUAAUUAAAAGGAUCGUCAACAUAAAAACGAAGAUUCAUCAUUUACACCCAUUUCAG
rnacentral:lncRNA from 1 species